AUGUAUUUUGUUAGCCAAUAACCCAAUGGUUUGUAACUAAGUUAAUUGAAACUACAAAACUUGAUUUUGCUUUUCAAGUGUGCAUCUCGAGUCCAUAUAUUGCAGGUUUUCUUAUGAUAAGUAUGCAAAAGAGUUUGGAAUUAUGGUUAGAAAUCAAUUUACUGUAGUUAAAAAAAAUAAAAUAAAAACUUAAAAAUAGUACUUAAAUCAAAGACCAACAAAGUAAACAAAGGAAAGAGGAAAAGAAGAAGGCUCAGAUCUUCCAUUGAAAAUAAGGCAUUGCAAGUUUUUUAGCACUUUUAACCAUAAGGUGGCUGCAAGUGGUUGUCUGCGAUGUAACAGACUAUCUAAGCUUGCCCUGCAACUACAAUAACAAGAACAGAAAUGCAUCACCUCCAUCGAUCUCUCUCUAGACUCUUUAAGUCCAUCUUGCAUAGGCAGUCAUCAUAGCCUCGUCGAGCCCCCGAUCGCCUUUUCGAGCCCCCCACCCCUACCCGAGAUCAGUUCGAAAACUAAGAGCAAAAAUUUUUUAAAAAAUAAAAUAAAAACUUAAAAAUAGUACUUAAAUCAAAGAAAAAUAAUGUAAACAAGGGAAAGAAAAAGAAGUAGGC
rnacentral:lncRNA from 1 species